ensembl:lncRNA
GAUCAGUAUGUCUAGGUAAUCGUGUCAAAUGCGGCUUUUUAAAAAUUGUAUCACGUAGUAAAACUGCAUUAACCUAAUGUCAAGUUAAGGUGUACUGUUAGCUAGCUAACGUUAGCUGGCUGGCUCGCUAGCUAACAUUAUGUGUAUGCUCUCCCCUUUCUAGAGGACCGAGUUUUGAAAUCAGUAGAAUUUGAGUAUGAUAGCUAAGGAGAUGGAGAAAACACUAGUCUGGAUUACAUCGUCAAACUAAGGGCAACCAUGCAUGGCAUAAGACAGGAGACACAUCCAGCCAUGAUGUAUACUGGACCUGAGCCCUAGGACCAUGCCUCAGGACUACCUGACAUGAUGACUCCUUGCUGUCCCCAGUCCACCUGGCCGUGCUGCUGCUCCAGUUUCAACUGUUCUGCCUGUGAUUAUUAUUAUUUGAUCAUGCUGGUCAUUUAUGAACAUUUGAACAUCUUGGCCAUGUUCUGUUAUAAUCUCCACCCGGCACAGCCAAAAGAGGACUGGUCACCCCACAUAGCCUGGUACCUCUCUAGGUUUCUUCCUAGGUUUUGGCCUUUCUAGGGAGUUUUUCCUAGCCACCGUGCUUCUACACCUGCAUUGCUUGGUGUUUGGUGUUUUAGGCUGGGUUUCUGUACAGCACUUUGAGAUAUCAGCUGACGUACGAAAGGCUAUAUAAAUACAUUUGAUUUUGAUUUGAUUUGAAAUAUGCAUGAUAAAAUCCAUAAAAUAUGAUUCCAGAUACAACAGUGCAGCAUGAUGCUAUUACGUUAAGUGAACCGGUAAAGCCAGAAAGACACAUGCUAAGCUCGUGAACCUACCCCAUAUUGAAUGAUGAUAAUCAAUAAAGUCUUGGCAGAUCGCUAUUAUACUGAAUGUCCAAACAUAACAAACCAUUGUCCUGUGAUGUCAGUCUUUAUUUUCUCUCGUGAGUCAUUUAAGUGUAAACAUCCAUGAGGGUAUUGGUGUCCUUGUGGGAUAGUAUACAUAUAUAGAUAGUAAAUAUAGAUAUAAUAUUAUUUCACACAAACACAAAGUAUACCUUUAAAUCAUAUAUGUGUUAAAAAUGUGGAAAUUGUCUUAAAUACCAAUUUGUGAGUAAUAUUCCAUGAACCUCCUUGAUGUAUGUGUGUUCACUCAAGUCCUGUGUUGAUAGGAAACAGAUUGGAGCAUCAUAAAUGGACAAUCUAAGAAAUGAGCCCAAUUAGUUUUCAACAAUUGUUUCCAGAAGUAUAAGAGGUCUUUGUUUCAUUUUUAAUAUUUCAAUGUUCAUGAGAAAGGAGCCUAUUUGUGAGCAGCAGGAAUUUAUCUAUGAAAAUGAUGAAAAGGGCAACAAUAAACAGUAUGUCAU